AUCUGGCUGGCUCAGUCGGUAGAGCAAGGGACUCUUGAUCUCGGGGGUCGUGAGUUCAAGCCUCACCUUGGGUA
rnacentral:tRNA from 1 species